AACGAACGCUGGCGGCGUGGAUAAGACAUGCAAGUCGAACGGGACAUUAUUUGUAGCAAUACAAAUGAUGUUCAGUGGCGCAAGGGUGUGUAACACGUGGGCAAUCUACCGGAAAGUGGGGAAUAGCUCGCCGAAAGGCGAAUUAAUACCGCAUAUGGCCAGGGAAGACCUCUUCCCGCAGCCAAAGCUGGGGCAACCUAGCGCUUACCGAUGAGCCCGCGGCCUANCAGCUAGUUGGCGGGGUAACGGCCACCAAGCGAUGACGGUAGCUGGUCUGAGAGGACGACCAGUCACACUGG
rnacentral:rRNA from 1 species